GUUAGAUAGAUUAAUAGGUAGAUAUCAGGAUAGAUAGAUAGAUUAAAAAUAGAUAGUAGGUAGAAGAGGUUUAUUGAUUUCAGGGUAGGACUUAGGAGGGUAAAGCCUCCAAGGCAAGAGGACAUGGGUUCCCAAAGCCUGAAUUCCACCUUUCUAAAAGUCAGGAGACUUUCAUUAAUUUCCAGUAAUGAAAGAUUACUUGGACAAACCUCUGGAUUGGCCACUGGGUCGAGGUUGGUAACCCAGGAGGUUGAUGACCUCAGGGUCAUCCCAGGAAGUAGACCGGAUCUGGAUGAUCAUCAGCCUCAGUGUAGCCUGGCGGAGCUGCCUAGCACUGCUCAUGGCAAGAGGAAGCCAGGCCAUCUUCCACGCCUUAGAAGCAGUGCUGUCAAGGGCCAUGCCCCUGACCCUAAUCCAAGCUUGUCUAUAGUCUCCAAAAGAAUCUUUAAGGGCGAAUCUGUGAUCAAAGGGCCCGAGGACAGGCAGACAUUUGUUGGGCCCAGUGGCUUGCCAAAGAUUAGCCCCAAAGCAACAGCAGGGGAGGCCCAAGGGAAGAAGAGGACAAUGGAGUUGCUUAACAAGGCUCGAAAGCAAGAAGAAAAAGUCUCAAACCUACUAGAUAUCAGACAGCUCCCGAAGCAAGAGGUGUUUAUUAACAACACACACCCAUGCAAGAAACAUCUGAAACAGCAACCAAUGAGCCUUGAGGAAUGGAGGAGGGGCCAUCUAGGGGGAGACAACACAGGACUCAUAUCACAAGAACCUUUCAGGUGCUGCAAACGUCUUGGAAAGAAGGCACAAUGUCAACUGUUGGAAGUAACUUCCCUAGAGGCAGAAGCCAGCCUGGAGGUCCUCAAGAGGAGGAGGAGGAUGCAGGCUAUGGAGAUGUCCAAAAAACCUCAGGACAGAGGACUCGGUCAAGAAAAAGCAGUCUUCCUAAGCAGAGAGAAAGUAAAACCAUCUUCUCAUGACAUGCAUCUGAGCACUGCUGAAAGAAGCUUUAAACCUAAAUCAAUGCCAAAGGCAGAAGACUGGGACCUCUCAGUCCAGGGAACUCCUGUAGUGCUUACAGUUCGGGACCACAGCAAUGUCUCACAGGCUCAGAAACAUUUGGGCUGUGCUGAAAUAUUUCAUUCCAGAGAUGGGCGAUGUACUUUAUUGAAGAGAGGAGGAGCCUAGAGAGAGUAGACACUUUCUCUGCAUCCUGCUCGAUAAGCCAGAAAAUGUUCAUUAUUUCUUCUUCUUGGAAGACAUUGCUCUUUCAUUGGGUAUUGAACCUUCCAGUGGAGUCAGGACUAUCUUCACAAAGCACAACUCCACUGUUUCCAGUAGACACAGACCACCAUCAUCAUUUCUGAUAACCAUCUGAACGUGCACAUCCUGAGCACAAUACAGGAACGAGGACCAGAUUACCUUCACCAGCGACUGUGACUUCAAUGGGCCAGGUGACUGAGGCACCCAUUGUUCCACAUGGGAAUCAGACAGAAUUCCAAGAGUCCGUCACCAUCCCGUGUAUUCCAUGUGAAAGCAAGAAUUGAAGAUAAGACAACUUUAGGAAACAUCAAUGAGGAGAACAAAAUAGAGUCUUGUCAAGUGUGACGAGAUUAUCAGUCAAUUGGAUGGAAAUCGUACUGCACUGUAGGAUUAGCAGCAUCAGACAAUGGGGGACUAGACUAUUCAGUGGUUGGUGACAUAUGAGGCAGAAUACCUGGGGCCCUGGGCUUCUCUCUUGGGGGAGCUCCCCUAUGGUGGUGCUUUAGGACCCACUAAGGAACAAAUUGCUGAAGGAAAUAUAAGUAGAGAUAUAGUAUUUUUCCGGAGAAAUAUUUUUGUUGGACCUCAAUCCACCAAGUUCCAGGCAGUUGAGCUGCUACAGUAAUUUCCUGGACACUCCAGAUCUUUGGAUAUUGACCACCUUUACAGGGAAAAAAAAAAGAAUGAUGUGUUCUGUAAACACCGAGCAAGGCAUAGAAAAUGUAAUGUCUUAAAUAAAACUGUUUCAGAUCUGCACCCAAAUGUGGACAUUUUAAGUGCAUCCCUCUGCUGAUUCAAUAUUAUGAAAACAUCUUUUACAUUCUGAGAGGCAGGAACUUUUGCUGGAUCUUAGAGACAGAGUUAAUAACACACGUUGAGGUCCUGUUAUACUUAAAUCUCUAUCCUACUCUGUACUCAGGAUUUGUUUAAUUUGCCUUUAAGAGAACAGUGCAACACUUGGGUGGUGGUGGUACAUAGCUUUAAUCCCAGACUCUAGA